AUCGGAUUCUGAAACUGCCAGACAAUACGCGUGCAAAGAUGAUGGCUGCAGGAGACAGCAAUCUGCAGGGGGCUUUCUGGCAACUGGGGAGUUCUGCACAGAAGCUGACCCUGAGACACCCCUGGGAUAGGAGCUGUGAGAGGUGA
rnacentral:lncRNA from 1 species